AUUGAACGCUGGCGGCAGGCUUAACACAUGCAAGUCGAGCGGGGUGAUGGUGCUUGCACUAUCACUUAGCGGCGGACGGGUGAGUAAUGCUUAGGAAUCUGCCUAUUAGGGGGGGACAGCAUCUCGAAAGGGAUGCUAAUACCGCAUACGUCCUACGGGAGAAAGCAGGGGAUCACUUGUGACCUUGCGCUAAUAGAUGAGCCUAAGUCGGAUUAGCUAGUUGGUGGGGUAAAGGCCUACCAAGGCGACGAUCUGUAGCGGGUCUGAGAGGAUGAUCCGCCACAAUGGGACUGAGACACGGACCAGACUCCUACGGGAGGCAGCAGUGGGGAAUAUUGGACAAUGGGGGGAACCCUGAUCCAGCCAUGCCGCGUGUGUGAAGAAGGCCUUAUGGUUGUAAAGCACUUUAAGCGAGGAGGAGGCUCUUUUGGUUAAUACCCAGAAUGAAUGGACGUUACUCGCAGAAUAAGCACCGGCUAACUCUGUGCCAGCCGCCGCGGUAAGAC
rnacentral:rRNA from 1 species